UCGGAGCCAAUUUUAUGUCUGUUAAUCUACUCUGGGACUCUCUCUUGUUCCCCCAGCAUGGUGUGUCUGGUUCACAUGGAUCCUCUCGAUGGAAAUUGGGAGUGGACAGAUAGCUCUCCAGCUGCAUUCAAACCAUGGGCUGAACAUCCUGGUCUCAGGAGAUGUGCCUCCUGUUUCGCGUGGAUGGUUUUAUGCUAUUUAGAGCUCAGCAUUGCAAUAAAAAAUAUGGUUACAUUUGUGAACAUGAGCCAAAGUCUGAGCCCGAGUAACCUCUUCACUCUCUCUGACUGAAUACUGCAAGUAGCAAGAGCCCCCUUCCCAGGGAGCCCAGGAUGAAGAACCUUUGUGGCCUUUCAGAUGUUGCUUGAGCACCACUAGCACCAUCCUAGACAAUUGGCCAUGAUGAAAGUGGGAGUCCACCAACGUCAGGAGGACAGCAGUCUCCCCUUCCCUAAUAGAUGCUUCAUCCAGUUGUGAAUUUAAACACAUGCCCCUGAAACAAGAGUCAAUUACUUUAUUUACUUAUCCUCACUCGCUUCCCCCUCUGUCUUUUGUACCUUUUUUCAGAUUGUAAGCUGGUUGGGAUAUGGAACUGGUCCCUUUUACUCUGUAAUGAACCAAUGCACUCUUGUGUCAAUGCCCUGGGAAACCAGUUCUGAUAGUUGGGCUGGAUCCAACCUCCCCCACCAAGUACAUGAAGACGUGGAAGUCAGUUGCUGAAAGCAAACCAUCUGCAGAGAAGAAAAGUCUGUUUGCGGGUGUGGCUUGAAUCCAAACCACACCUGCAAAAAGACAAAGUGGGACUUGCAGCCAGCGCCCUUGAAGCUGUGGUCUCAGCGCAAACCAGCUGCUUGUUGCUGAAAGGGUGUCUCCAAAGGGGCUUUGGUCCAGCACUAAUUAGAUGAGAGCAAGCCCCCCCUCCUUGGCGGCAGUAGGACGUUCCCAAUGGGGCUUGCUCUUAGCACUGAUCAGUGGUCAAGAGGAUGGCCUCUUAGGUGCACUUUCAAAUCUGUAAGAGAAAUCUAUGGGGGGAAAUCUGUAAUGCAACCAAUUCAAGGAGUGCUUGCUGUCCCCAUUCCUGCCUGCAAAGGAUUAAUUAGGAGCUCACGUUCAGCUCCCAAUUGUGCCAUUGUCCACACCUAAUGUUACACAACUGGGACGUGGGUGACGCUGUGGGUUAAACCACAGAGCCUAGGACUUGCCGAUCAGAAGGUCG